rnacentral:misc_RNA from 1 species
AUUGAUCUUCUCAGCACCAUUAACCGGUGCUGGCUGGCCAAUGUUUAAUGAAUUCAUCUCAUCGGAGAGUUUAUAAAUGGGGGUUUUUGGGAAGUCAGUGUCUACAAUAUUUCUACUACUUGAAUCAAACUUGAGCUUCCCAUCACAACCCGUGUCACUUUUUGGGGCAUUCCAACAACCAUUGUGGUUUUGAAUCUUUUCUCUGCUAAAAUUCUCCAUGUCUUCAGCAACUUUACCAUCUUCAUUCACUUUAUUCUUCCCUUUGAAGCCACAACCAAA